AUAGUUCAAUUUUUUUUUUUUUUUUUAACUUUAGGUUUGUGCAGAGGACAAUGUAUGGUGAUAACAAAUUCAUUGUGUUUGAAACCUGCCAGCGUGAGCUGUUUGCCACAUGCCCGAUAUGUAAACACAAGUGUGAUGUAAGUCUACGCCGGAUUGGUACAUAUGUGGCAUUCCUCCAGCUUUGCCCCAAGUGCAGUUACCAUAAGCAAUGGGAGAGCCAGCCCACUGUUGGUAGUACGCCCGUCGGAAACCUUCAGUUAUCUGCAGCCACGUAUUUUACCGGAGGAUCAUUCAUCCAAGUGCAAAAGGUAAGCAUGAAACGUUUUGUUGUACCACACAAUUCUAAGUUAUGAUCUUUACAUAAUACUUCAACUUUUCUCAUAGAUUUGCAAAGGCAUGCAAUUACAGAUUUUCACAUAUGAAACAUUCCGGAGACAUUCUAGGAGCUUCCUAGAGCCUGCCAUAAUCCACAAAUGGAAAAGUGACCAACAAAAACUUGGCCUUGCCAGAGAUAUGCGAGCUGACUCACCUGGACAUUCAGCCAAAUAUGGGAGUUACACGUUGAUGCACACAGAGAGCAGCACUAUUUUGGACAUACAACUUGUUCAGAGUAAUGAAGUCGGCGGUAGUUACCAUAUGGAGAAAGAGGGCCUAAAGAGAUGUCUUGAUCAUCUAGAGUCAAGUGGCUUAACAGUCGACUACAUUGUGACUGACCGCCACACUCAGAUACAGAAAUAUUUGAGAGAAUGCAG